GGGUUGUGAGGUUAAGCGACUAAGCGUACACGGUGGAUGCCCUGGCAGUCAGAGGCGAUGAAGGGCGUGCUAAUCUGCGAUAAGCGCCGGUAAGGUGAUAUGAACCGUUAUAACCGGCGAUACCCGAAUGGGGAAACCCAGUGUGAUUCGUCACACUAUCAUUAACUGAAUCCAUAGGUUAAUGAGGCGAACCGGGGGAACUGAAACAUCUAAGUACCCCGAGGAAAAGAAAUCAACCGAGAUUCCCCCAGUAGCGGCGAGCGAACGGGGAGGAGCCCAGAGCCUGAAUCAGCAUGUGUGUUAGUGGAAGCGUCUGGAAAGGCGCGCGAUACAGGGUGACAGCCCCGUACACAAAAGCGCAUGUGCUGUGAGCUCGAUGAGUAGGGCGGGACACGUGGUAUCCUGUCUGAAUAUGGGGGGACCAUCCUCCAAGGCUAAAUACUCCUGACUGACCGAUAGUGAACCAGUACCGUGAGGGAAAGGCGAAAAGAACCCCGGCGAGGGGAGUGAAAAAGAACCUGAAACCGUGUACGUACAAGCAGUGGGAGCACCCUUUGGGUGUGACUGCGU
rnacentral:rRNA from 1 species